UACGUAGGGGGCUAGCGUUGUCCGGAAUCAUUGGGCGUAAAGCGCGUGUAGGCGGCCCGGUAAGUCCGCUGUGAAAGUCGGGGGCUCAACUUGGAGACGCCACCCGAUACUGCUCUGACUUGAGUUCGGUAGGGGAGUGGGGAAGUUCCUGGUGUAGCGGUGAAAUGCGCAGAUAUCAGGAGGAACACCGGUGGCGAAGGCGCCACUCUGGGCCGAAACUGACGCUGAGGAGCGAAAGCGUGGGUAGCAAACAGG
rnacentral:rRNA from 1 species